rnacentral:rRNA from 1 species
GACGAACGCUGGCGGCGUGCUUAACACAUGCAAGUCGAACGCUGAAGCUUGGUGCUUGCACUGGGUGGAUGAGUGGCGAACAGGUGAGUAAUACGUGAGUAACCUGCCCUUGACUCUGGGAUAAGCCUGGGAAACUGGGUCUAAUACUGGAUACGACAUGUCACCGCAUGGUGGUGUGUGGAAAGGGUUUUACUGGUUUUGGAUGGGCUCACGGCCUAUCAGCUUGUUGGUGGGGUAAUGGCUCACCAAGGCGACGACGGGUAGCCGGCCUGAGAGGGUGACCGGCCACACUGGGACUGAGACACGGCCCAGACUCCUACGGGAGGCAGCAGUGGGGAAUAUUGCACAAUGGGCGGAAGCCUGAUGCAGCGACGCCGCGUGAGGGAUGACGGCCUUCGGGUUGUAAACCUCUUUCAGCACGGAAGAAGCGAAAGUGACGGUACGUGCAGAAGAAGCGCCGGCUAACUACGUG